GCUUAUUGUCAUGCACAAUACUUGAGCUCUAUGACUUUGGCCCUCUGGCUAUCAUUUUGGCUAUUUUGAAUAGCAUAUAUUUUUUUUAACAUACUACGUUUUUCUUUUAAACAAAUCAAUGGCCAUAUUGCUGUCAAACUAGCACACUUUUCAUUUCAAAAACUUUAUUUAACUUUUGUCUUAUCUCUAUUUAUGUGUUUAUGUAACUAUAACAAGUGUUAAGGUUUUUGGCGUGUUUUUCAAUGAGGUUAUAAUUGCGAGCGCCAGAUGGUGUCGUCGUAACCCUUAAUAUUUUGUCUGAUUGGCUCUUACUAGGGAACGCCUAGGACUAGGAGAUAUUCAAGUUUACAGGCCUUAACCAUUAAGUAGACCUUGAUUUAACACGUUUUGCAACUAGACGUCAUUUGAAUGGUGCUGUUCCUAUCUGCAGCCAUACAGUGUGCAAAAAUAGCGGUGGAAAAAAUCUGCUUAUCCUGCUGAUCUGCACAAUGCCAGUUUCAUUAAGCAAUCUUGAAAUGACCUAUGAACAGACUACAAAGUACUAGGGGCCCUCACUCCGUUCAGGAAGUUCCCGAUAGG